ACCAAACAAAGGAGGAUCCUAACUUCGAAGGGAAGGGAAGGGAAGGGUAAGUCAGACUCAGAUCCCAGUCAUGUUGUCCAAUCAAAGAGCAGUGGUCCCUAUUCACUCGCCACUAAAACCCUCUUCACUUCUACUCUUCUAGUCUAGAGCCGACCAGAAGCCCACCUCUCCUCAUCUCUCCUUCAGAUCUCUCUCAAACCAAUUCUACUUUCUUUUCCAAAGAGGUGAUCCCAAACCCUAGCUUCCUCUAUUUCACUCUAUUCUCUUAUAAUUUUUCCCCCUUUUUCAGCUUUUGAUUGUAGUUAUUAUUGAUGAUCAUCUUUAACCCUAAAACAUUUAUGGGUGUUAUGGCUUUUUUUUUUAUCUGUCGUGGAUGCGUUAUUUUCCUUUUCGAUCCGUUUCCUGACCAUGAAAUUUGCGAUUUGUUGUGCUAUAGAGAUAAACGUCGAUUGUUUAACUUGUAAUUUUAUCUUGUAGUAGUGAAAUUUGUGGAUUUUUUGUUUGUAUUUAUUUAUUUUGUUAGCUUUUGAUAUAUAUUUUUUGAUCCCCAAAACAUUUAUAUUUGUUUGGAGCAUUAGAUGAUCAUAAUUUCUGGGUCGAAGGCGGGAUUUUAGAAUUUACUAUGCCUUUCGUGUCAAUAGCCUUCAAGCCUUGAGUUGCUUGGUGAUGUAUUUUGGGUGUGAACCAUUGAUGUCUAAUGCGAGCUUCAUUUUUUUAUUUUGUUAUAAUUUUUGAGCUGAGUUGGUUUGCAUUGACCUUUGAUUUUUGUGAAUGAUUCAAUAAUCUGAUAGUUGUAACUUUGCUGGGGAUGCAGUGGUUUCUUAUAGAUGUGUUGCAUUUGGACCAGCAUACUUAUAGCUUCACUUUCUAAAUGUGGUCAUUUUAAGUUUCUUAACAGCCAAACAAAUAAUUUCUUUUCUGUCUUUUGGAAUAUUUAAUUUUGUUUUGUGGGGAUGAAUAGUUAAUAUUUCUCUCAUUCUUUCUUGUGGAUGCAGCUAUUUCGAUGUAUUUAGGGGGUUUUAACUUUUCAAGUUUUAAUCUCCCACUUUGUCAAAGUUAUUCACUUUACUACUCUUGCCAAUGUAGGUUUCUUGAAAAUGGCUGAAUCAAAAUCAGGAUUGCGGAAACCUGUAUUCACCAAGAUUGACCAGCUCCGCCCAGGCACCAGUGGGCAUACUCUCAAUGUGAAGGUUGUUAGUACAAAGAUGGUCUUGCAGAAGGGCCGUUCUGAUGGUCCUCAAGUACGCCAGAUGCGAAUUGCUGAAUGUUUGGUAGGAGAUGAAACUGGAAUGAUUAUCUUUACUGCUAGAAAUGAUCAAGUGGACUUGAUGAAAGAGGGAACUACUGUAACCCUUCGCAAUGCAAAAAUUGACAUGUUUAAAGGAUCCAUGAGACUUGCUGUGGACAAAUGGGGACGUGUUGAAGUAACUGAACCUGCCAGUUUCACUGUGAAGGAGGAUAACAACCUGUCACUGAUUGAAUAUGAACUUGUGAACGUAGUUGAAGAGUGACUUCUUUGUGCAACGUUGCAAGCAUUACUAGAUGAUGAUAUGAGAAUAAAAAACAAAUCCAGCAAAGCAAAUUACUGGACGUGUCUUGUCCAAAAAUGCCUGUGAAAGUUCACAUUUAGGAAGAAGAAAUUUGCAAGUUAGUACCGCACUAGUUGCUUUUACUUUGACGGCAGAUCCAGUACAACCCGGCGAGUUAAAGCAGUUGCCUUUGGAAACUUAGCAUGGUUUGCUUGCUAAUCGAACUUAUUACAGAUAUCAAAUUUAUCAAGUGUAUGUUGCUGUACUCGGUUUAUUAUAGUUCAAUGCUUAAUCUUUCUAUUUAAGGUAGCAUUUUUCGAUCUUAUUUCUGCGCAUAAAUUUUUUACUGGUUGGUAUUGUAAUGUUUUUGGUUUUUGUACAAUGGUAAGAUAAAUAUAGGACAAAUUAUAAUUUGAAACAAAAUUAUCUGUGGUGCAAUUAAGUCUGUAAAUUAGCCCUGUUAAAGUUGAACUUAAAUUAGCAGGUUUUUCCUCUUUAAAAUUUCCGAUUGUACUUUUCUUUAAUAUGGGAAAACCCAAUAAUUUCUCUUGCU
rnacentral:misc_RNA from 1 species